GGUUCGAUUCUGACUCCGGUCUUCCUAUGUGGAAUUUGCAUGUUCUUCCCGUGCCUGGGUGGGUUUUCUCCGGGUACUCCGGUUUCCUCUCACAUUCCAAAAAACGGGCAUGACAGGUUGGUUGAGGACUCUAAAUUGUCCCUGGGUGUGACUCUGAGUACAAACGGUUGUUCGUCUUUGUGUUCAAAACAUUUAACAAUAUCAUUGUUUUUGUUUGUUUUUGCUUGCAGUGUAGUUUGCACUACUGUAAAAUCUUCCAUGCUAAAUACAGUUGCAAACGUAGACUCAGACAUUGUGACAUCACAAGUUUGCCCCUGGGAGCACUUGGGACUGCGACUAAAGCUGUCGUCUAAAACCAUCUGGCCUUCAAGCCAUUAAGCGCUUAGCGAUGAUCUUUGCAAAGAUGGUGCCCAGCUGGUCGCCUAUGCCGGCCAGGAGGAAGCCGAAAAGUGGGAUGCCCAACAGAGCGUAGACGAUGCAAAAGAUUCUCCCGCCCUCCGUGUGAGGAGAGAUGUUCCCGAAGCCUGGACAGAAGACCGAGAGUAGACUUCGGACCACGUUUGACUUCGGACCUCCAACAAGGUUCCACCCUCUGAGAAAGUAAUGAGCUGUCCAAGGUGCUGAAACUACUACAGUGGCAACACACACGGUGGACACACAAUUUCAAGUCUACGCAUCCUGUUCCAUUGUUUGCUGUGAUCUCAAGAAAAGUGACCGAUAUAAAAUCAGUUCCAAACUUUAUCCACACUUAAUGUGACCUUGAGCUACUACAAUCGAUUAAAAACAAAACGUACAUCAUUUCAAGAGGGGAAGAAAAAAUGAACAACAGCGAUGUAGUUGCACAAGUGCGCACACCCUCUUAUAAUUGGGACGUGCUGUCGGCCUCCUGGCAGCCUCCCAGACCUGUUUUCUUUUCAUGAAUUGUGGAGGGAUGUCCAGUUACUGGAAAUCUGUCUGUCGCGCCAUAAUUUCGCCACAGUCGUCAAUGUGGUCUAUGGUAUAUUUAAAGCCUUGGAAGUUUCUGUCCCCUUUUCCUGACCGAUACCUAUAAACAGUGAGAUCUCACUGGGCUACAGAAAUGUCAGGAAAAGCUUACUAGAGCAACUAAAGUCGAUCUAGGGUUAUUCAGAACCCCUUUCAAAGGUGGCAGGUGUGUGCUGGCUCACUUUUAACAUGAGUUUCAUUGUGAUUGGUUAAGCUUUUCAGUUUCCAGUGUACCGAAUUAUCAUUAAACUCAGAUUUUUUUCUCUCUCAUUCAUUUGUAAAGAUUAGAGGUCACAUGAAUGGUGGAAACAGUUUUGAAAUGAUCGAUUUUCAUAUCACAUCUCGUAUUUGAAGAGUAAACAUUUCAUAUCCAGUGCAUAUCGACACAGAUGAAUAUAUUUCACCUUAACCAGAUCCUCCAGAUGACUGUUGUUGACGCAGGAGUGUUUGGCCAGAAAGUCCAACUUCUGGGUCAAGAUGGCCAAGCGUUGAGCACUGAUGGGGAAAGAAGGCCACAGUAUUUGUCACAACCUGUCACCUCAUUUGUUUACACAAUUACAAAUGUUUGCUUGUGGGCUACCAAAUCCAAUUAUGUAUAAUUGCAGAGAACAUGUGAUUUAUUUUGCCCAACCCCCCCAAACCAUGCAAAGUGCCUGAGUUGAAAUGUCAGCAUUUUAAACGACUGCAACUUGCAGGGAUGGAUAUGAAACAGCAAGGACCCGAUUACUGCUCCAACUACUUCUCCGAUCGGUAUUUUGACUGUAGUAGCUGGAAGGACACGUGUGUGUGUGGCUGGGCUUUAUAGUUUGUGGAAAAUGUUUCUAAAUAGCACAGCUCCUCCUCAAAGGUUUUGAGGGCUUCAGAAAGAGCGUAGUUUUGCGCCAACCUUCUACUUGGCUUUUUAACAAAAAAUGCAAGAGGAAUUUAAAAAAUCCACGUUCUUGAAGGUUCUUGAAAAAGUAUUGUACCAUACUGAGAGCAUUUUAAAAACCUUAUUCAGUCUGGGAGUGGGCCAAUAGUUCAAUUUAAUAGCACGAACGUAUUAACAUAACUCAUUUGUGCAGGCCGAUUUUUAAUGGUUUUUACCUCUCAUGAGGCUGUUCCAGGGACCUGAAAACGGCCGCGCCCAUCACCAGGUAGAAGACGAUCAAAAGAAAGAUGGCGGUCACCGUCUUCCUUUUCAUCACCGUGGCGACCACCUGCAAUACUUCAACUGGUCAGUCAACCAACACGUGCAUCGGAAAGAAGGUAACGAACGAAAGCGUGAUGGCGAUUUGGUGGCCUCCCACCUCGCUUUCCUCUCGUGGAGUCAGCGUGAUGGACUUUGUGGAGAAGGAGAGGCGGGGCUUGGUGUUGUGAGUGGCCGCUUUGGGGUCCAGCAAGUCUGGAGCUGCCACUGUCAGGGGGGAUGUUGGUAGUGGGGGUGGAGAAAAAAAAAAACAUCACCAGGAAUUGUUUUUUACCCACACCGUCUCAUUUCACUUGCCAUGGCCAUUUAGUUGUUAAUUUUAGAAGUCUUUAUAAAUAAAUCACAGACAAGGCUUCGAAAUGGCCUUUCAAUCCUGACACAAGCAAACACAUGAAUCGCUCUCUCUUGCCUGUUUUAGUGACAUUUUUCUAAAGUAGUUUAGAAUAACUGUACAGUACAGUACAGUACACAUAGGUACAGUAACAUAAUUUUAGAUUGUGAUUCUCCAACAUUUUACACCAAGUACCACCUAAAAUCAUUUGUAGCUCUCCAAGUAGCACCGUUAUGAUCAACAUUAUGACAAAGUAAAAAACAAGACAGAGGUUUUAUUCUUGAAAAAUAUAUUUCAUAUUAGUGCAAACCACUGUAACAUUAUGCACAAUUAGAAUUAACAUGAUGGUUAACAACGGGAAAACUGUACUAGUUUCAGUGAAAAUGUUUACAUAUAAAAGUGAGACAAAAUUACCUAAAUAAAUCUUUUUUUUAAACAGUAAAUGCAUUGUACAAAACUGAACACAUCAAAUUGCAAUGCACUGGAUGAAAAAAAAUGUUUCAGCCACUGUAACACACAUUUUCAACAUUUAAUUCAUUUUCUUGCUUUUUUCUUCCUACCACGAGAGGGAGCCCGCGUACCACACGUUGAGAAUUGCUGGUUCGCUCUGUUACAUUGCACCAACCAUUAGUUUCUGGCAGUAGCUUUUUGGUUGCUAUUUCAUACACAUACAACAAUUAACGGCCAUAGAUAACAAACGCAGUCAUUACCAAGUCACAUAAUGAACAAAAAUCAUUUUAAACAAGCUUUCAAUGGCUUUGCUGCUCAGCCUUAUUGCAAUUGAAAUGUUUUUUCGCUUGUCCACGAUAAGUUCAGUGGUGAAAAAAUGUCAAAAAAGAUAGUUGGUCAACAAUUUGAUGCUUUGUAAAAGAAUCUCGUUUCUCAGCUUUUUUUGUUGCAUAAAUAGACAGUCAUACACUGCACAUCAUGCUUAAUCAAGCAAACAAUACAAAAGAUGUACUGUAUUACAAACUAACAUUACCUUAAAAAUAACUGUCGUCGUUUGUGUUUUAGGACCAUUUUUUAUUAUUAUAAAAAUAUAAAUUAAGACCAUUGUGCUUAUAGAACUGCGAUAUGGACUCUCACUCAACAAAAUGAUUUUUUUAAGUCAUGAGAUGAGCUAAUUGCGCUGUUAUGUCACUACUUUAAAUGUAAUGUCAAAUGUUAUUGGAAAAUACUAUUGCCAUCUUCAGGUACGCACGGAAAUAUUUCAAUGUAUUAAAAUGAAUAAAUAAAUAAAUUCAAAAAGUACUACAAUCGGUGCUACUCACUCCUGGA